UACAAUAUCGCUGAAGGGUUUCACCAUAUGUCCAUCAAACCAGUCUCUCUUAAGAAUUCCGUAAGGAGACGUGAAGUUUCUUUGCGGGCUAUAACUGAUCCCUCGGGAAAUACAAGGUGUUGCAGGUACGCAUGCGGAAGGUCCUUUCUUUGCAGAUUCUCCAGGAGAGCGUCCCUUUCAUUUUGGAAUUUCGGGCACGAUCACAGAAAGCGUUCAAUAUCUCCUGCUCUCGUCGCAUGCCGUACAGUUCGGAGAAUUGAUUCUCCCCGUCUUAAAUAACCAGGCCGGUGUACUAGCAGAUCCUGUCCUUAAUCGAUAUAGAAGUAAAGCUUCCUCUCGGUGCAAUCUCUUAGGUUACGCAGGGUAUAUGUGGUGGAACCCAAAGCGACCCAAAGUGAUUUCGAAUGUCAGAAUUUUCACUUGAUUACUCUUUGGAGCCUUGACUUUUGGAGGAUGAUAGAGCGCUGCGUAUGCAAGCGCAUCAGCUUUUUCGUUGCCAGAAAUACUAAUGAGGAAGGGAAUCUACUGAAACUUUACUAUGAAGCUUGUUGUUGAAUUCUUUCACGAGGGCUAGUGAUUUGCGUGGGAACUUGAUGGAUGACAGACCACGGUAUAGUCGUCGUAACGCGGCCUUUGAGUCCGUAAGGACAACCACAUUCUGCGGAGGCAAAGUCUAUAGUUUUCGCAGAGCAGAAGCUAUUGCUACGCCUUCCACAGUCGACGAGGUUAUACAGUCCAGACGGCCAGACCACGUAUAUCUCAGAGACGGAAUAUAGAAUGCAGCUGCGCAGCGGUCUUCGUCUACUUUGACAGAGCCAUCUGUGUAUACUUGUAGGUGGUUCGGGUAAGUGGUGUUCAAAUGUUCCAGGACUAGUGACUUGGCUUCUGCCGAUGGAAUGCAGCUCUUUGACUGCAGUUGUGGUACACUUAAGUUGCAUGGGAUGACCUCGAAUGUCCAUGGGCGGUUCUAUCUUUUCCCUCUCUCUCGAGCAGCGCAAUCCCAAGGCGCGAAGCGGGUUCAGUGCUGCAUAAAAAUGUGGGCACCCGCCGUGGUUGCUCAGUGGCUAUGGUGUUGGGCUGCUGAGCACGAGGUCGCGGGAUCGAAUCCCGGCCACGGCGGCCGCAUUUCGAUGGGGGCGAAAUGCGAAAACACCCGUGUACUUAGAUUUAGGUACACGUUAAAGAACCCCAGGCAGUCCAAAUUUCCGGAGUCCCCCACUGCGGCGUGCCUCAUAAUCAGAUCGUGGUUUUGGCACGUAAAACCCCAUAAUUUAAAAAUGUGAGCGCGGCCUGUUACCUAUACGUCUUAAGAGGGCUUUGCCGGGCGUAGACUCACUCAAUCGUAGUAGCUGGGUCAUGAGAGUCUGGGAAGCCUGAAGUCGCAGAGGGCGUGACUCAGCUUCGUAGAGCACUUUCUUGUUCGAUGCCGGCUGAAGGACUCCAAGGAACAGUCGAAUACCUUUUCAGUGGAUGGUUUCUAAGUGCUAGUAUUGGCUAUCUGAGGGUGACAUUAGAGAUAGCUGGUAUAGGAUCCGACUGGUAACCAACGCUGUAUGUAGCCGUAGCAUCGACAUAGGGUGGUUGCCCCAGCGUAUGCCAGCGACUCGCUUGAGCACAUGUAUACCCUCUGUGAUGAUGACGCCACAACGUGGUCAACAGCGCGGCGCCAGAGUAGCCUGUGGUCCAAGGUGACGCCAAGAAAUCGGACGUUGGUGACUUGUCGAUUCUGGUAUCCGUCUAUAUUCAGCUUCAAGUGUGUAGAUUUUCUUUUCACUCCAGGAAAUAGUACGAAUGAUGAUUUAUCUGCUGAUAGUGAUAAUCCAAGCGUUGCCAAGUGGCCCUGAAUGGCAUUUACUGCGCCCUGGGCUAUUCGUGCGAGGCGGCGAUGCUGGUAGCCGGAGACCCAUAUGCAGAUAUCAUCGGCAUAUAUAGAUAUCUUCACUAGUGUUCGAUGGUUUAGUAUUCCUGGGAGGCUAGCCAUGGCGAUGUUAAAUAAUAAGGAGAAAUAAACACUUCCCUGUGGCACGCGGCAAAAUAUACCCAUUUCAUCGCUCAAUCAAUCAAUCGCUCAAUAAUAAAUAAAUAAAUAAAUAAAUAAAUAACUAAAUAAAUAAAUAAAUCAAUAAAUAAAUAGUGCAGUCCGUAUGUCAAAUGAAUGGACCUGCACACUUGCCGUGAGCGUAACGUGGUUAUCACAUCGAAGCGCACUGUUUACGCCUGCGUAUCCUUCGGUAAGAGCUGUUAAGCGUUCUUCUCGCUUCACUGCAGUUUACUCGUCUCAGAAGUUCUACACCGCAGUGUUCUUCGAUCUUCGCUCGAAGGUUUAUUGAUUGAUUGGUUGUGUUCAACAACCCAAAGUAGCGUAUAGGUGCUGUGAGAGAUGCCGUAGUGGAGGGCUCUAUAUUAAUUUUGACCGCCUUGAGUUCUGUAGCGUGCACCGGAAGUCUCAUCACACGAGUGUUUUCGCAUUUCGCUCUCAUCAUAACGCGACCGUCGCAGCCGGGACUCGAAUCCGCAACCUCGUGGUCGUAGAAAGCCAUAGCCACUGUGUCACCGCGGCGGGUGUAGCUUUACAAGCACGAAGAACGAGUAGGGUAGAUAAACGGGGCCGUGGCAUUCGCGCGGCGCAUCUCAAGUGGGAACUGUUUAUUUGAGGCUCGGCGAGUUCUUUGCGCUUACCACGUGCCGUCGAACCGUGUAGUAGACGAAAGGGUAACGAGAUAAGCUUGCUCCUUAUCGCGAAUCGAGCCAAGUGGAUGACUCAGUUGACGCGCGUUUUGAGUGCGUGAGCGUUUGGUUCUUUCGCGGUAUGGUCGUAAGGACGCCUUUCGAGAACAGUCGGGUUGUAAACAGAGCCACUUCAUAUUUACGAUAGCAGGAUUGCAUGUAUAGGCUUGCAUGGAUCAGUGUCGAGGAGCGGCUCCAGCUUCGAGCGUGAACAGUCUGCACAGUUCGCCGAGUCCGCUUCGUUCUUGCUUUGGCUAACGAGCCUACACAAUACGUGUUAUUUAUUGAGCGACGAAAUUCGCCGGAAACAUACUGCCGAAGAGCUGGCUAUUCGUACAGCAUCGAUAAAACCGUUAGUGAGAAAGUAACGGAAAUCGGAAAAAUGACGGGCUGACAUGAUCCUAUAAAUAGAAAUUGCAUAAGUGCUUCAGUAUAUUUUGCAUAAAAGGGUUAACAGGAAAAGAAAGGCUGCGUACACGGUUUGCAAUCUCGUGCAACUGCAUGCGAGUACAAUUGAACUCCCGACACACGUUGGUCCAGUCAUCUUAAAAAAAAAAAGAAGAAAAAACCGCAUCGCUGUACGAUCGUAUUGUGUCAGCAAUGGAACCUGAAUACAUUCGAUCAGCCACUGAUACCUGAUAAGGCUGUAAGGUUUAUUAGUAACGAAAUACUAACCUAUUCCACGGUGAUGCGCCCGUAACUUUGGAUGUGCCAGACUGUUUAUACGUUAUGGGAGUGUGUGGACUGUUCGGUGUGUGUGUGUGUGUUGUCGUCGCAUCCAUCUAGAGUUUAGCAAUAUGCUAUAAGCGAGCUACCUAGCAAACUUCUCCAGCCUCUAGCUACACUUCUGUUAUGAUUCUUACUACUAAAAUCAAACUUUGGCGAACGUUUUUACCGUUGUAACUCUACAGCACACGGUGAGCAAGGUAACGUCGUUUGCGCUAAGCUCUUCGCUCGCGGUUAAAUUCGUCCGCCGCGCAACAUCGCUCGCGCGAGGGGCGCUCGCUCGCUCGCCACUGCACUCUUGUAUAUGCCUAGAUGGCUUGGUCGGGCCAGAAGCUAUUUGUGGCCGCUUCACGUAAACUGUGCCCGUAAGACCCAUUGCGUGUGGGCUUGAGUCUUGUCUAUUUGUGUCCACUUUCACGUAAACACUGCGCAGCCGGCGUUGCUCGUUACCAAAUUUGCCCGAGUGAGGAAUGGGAAGGGGGUUGCAGCAGAGCUGGAGCGGCAAGGAAGCGGCUAGCCGCAGUCGCCGAUAAACUCUAUUUCUUGAGCGCUCUGCAUGGCAAAGCACCGUUAAGGAAAAAGAGAGAGAGAGAAAAAAAAGCGCACUCACCUUUCCUGCUGUCCGUUCCUGCUUCCGUUACGUCCCCUUGCGUAACUUCCGCGGAACGUUGUGCUGGACAGCCGCUUUGCAUAUAUUUGCACUCUGUACAUGUAAGACGCGUAACGCGUAUGAUGCCAGAGGUUAGUGACCGAAUAUGGCUAGAUUGUCGGUCGUACAAGAAGUGUGCGUCAGCGAUUUGAUUGCAUAGCGUUGCCCACAUCGAUGGCCCUAUAGCUGUGGAGCAUCUGCUUGCCUGAGCGUGAAGUCGUGGGUUCGCGGUUUAUAGAAGACGCCCGCGGUGCUGAUUAUUUCGGUGCAGACAAAGGAACGCAGGGUGAUCAAAACUCUUCCAGCACAUAUGUUUCUCGAACUGAUAUAUUCAGUUGAGCGCUUUGGUCUUUGACGUAAAGAAGCUGUCUUACCUCUUGCCUCCUCGUAUUUGCUACAUCACUAGCCUAAUAAUGGCGGCUUUCAAAGCUUAAGGGUUGCACUGAACAGCAACAGUAAAACCGUUUAGACUUGAUUGUUCUAGCCAUAUAUGCAUUGCCUGAAGCAAUGUGCAGUUGGGAGCCGGGUGCGCUAAAGACUGCUCUUGCGCAGCUUUGGCGCUGCAAGGUUUUCUGCAUCAAGCAGCCUCUGAGAGCGGUGGCAUCUGUGCACGUGUUUCGGAGGCCACAGCAGCUGCAUUACUGUAGCGGGCGAAUACGACGUCGUGUCCAUCGCAAAAAGGUGUUCAGAAGAUGGCACUGUCCCGUUAAUGCGAGAGGCUGUUACUGUCGCAGUGAAGAAGGUCACAGCCAGAGGAAUCGCUGAAGACCUGCUGAUAUUACGCGAAGUCCCCAAUGUGAUGAAGCGCUCAAAUACUCGCUGUCAUUGAAAGAGACCGCACUGGCGAAUGUGCGACUAAAGCGAUGGUGAAAACUGCAGAGUCACGGCUCCUGGCAAGGCCGUAUCGUCCACGAAGCUCAGAAACGAAACCGUGAGACCCCAUUUUUCAAAGCCUGUCCCGGGGGCUCUCGUGUGAAAUUGCCUGUAUACCGUCACGCGAUGGGAACGUUGGCAGUUGGUGGCAAGCAAAUGCGAACGCGAGGAGCUCGUUCCGGAGGAUGGAAAGGGUCGACAAUGAGAGAGAGAGAGAGAGAUAGUAGCGUUGCGUACGAGCGAUUGAAGAGUGCUUGCAGCAGUCGUUCUUGAAAUCGCCAUGAUAAUUGACCCGACCUCGUGGGAAUAUCUAGAGAGCUGUGGUACGCGCGUUUCCGACCGUGCAAUGGUGCGCCGGUAGCCACGAAAACUUUGUAUCAUCCCAUUUCUCUCUCUCUUUAGACUUAAGGCACAACACGACAGUUCUAUGUGACGAGUGCUCAUAGCCGAUCCACACCUAUUGGCGGAUCUCUCGUCCUACAAAGCCCUGCGGAUCACGUGUCUCGGGUCGGGACGGCGACAUCAGUUUAUCGCGCCUGUGUGCGCGCGCGUUCUUGCAUGCGUGCGUGCACUGUAUGUAAUCGUCUAACUUGAAAUUCCUUCUGCGUUCGCUUGAGACCCGUAUUUUUUUAUUAAUUGUAUUUGGCGUUUUUCUCUAUUCGUCCUUUGAUUGUCUGUUUGUAAUGGUCACGCUUGUGUACUCAGACUGCAUGCACUACACGCCAAAGAAUAAGUAGUCAGAAAUUAAUUCGGAGCCCUCUCACUCCCAAGACACUCUUUUUGUACGCGGACUGCAGUGCACGUCAAGGAACACCAAGUGGUCAGAAAUUAUUAGAGUCCUCCACUUCGGCGCCCCCUUGUGUAGUAAGGUGUAACUUUGGGACAUAAAAAGCUAUCCGCAACUCAAGCCCCAUUGGACCGUACGUCAAGUACGUACAGUUACUUUCAGCACGUGCACACAACAUCGUUAACAUAUCCAUGGUGCACCGCAGGUCGUGUUAUCUUGUACUCAAAACAGCGCACCUGCGGCACUAAGCACUUAAACACAGACAUACGGUGUACUUAUUACUUUUCUUCCCAGAGUCAAGAUUGCCAUACCGUUGAUAUGUUUGUUUUUACCGCGCAAGGUGGUCUCUCCGUCUUCCUUAGAUAGAGCUGGUGCCUUAGACUUUACAUUAUGCAGCACGCAAGGCUCAUUUUGACGUGCAUUCUAAUGUCGGUGUAACAGUACAUCACUUUCUCUUUGAAGUUCGCGCCAGUGUAAUUACGCGGCCUGCGAAACGUCCGGAGCCGCACCUUCGACCUUAGCGCUCCCCAGCAAAACGCGCAGCUUAACCGUUGCACCAUGCACUCGAGGGAGCUCAUUGACACACUUGGGUGCGAGGCAAGGCUUCUAAUAAGCGAAACUCCUACAUGGGCGUUUCAUGUCCUUGCCGAUCUCUUAGCUUUGGCUACGUGUGCCGGCCGGGCCUGCCAUAUCGAACGAUCGUUACCGUUUAGCGUUCCGGUCGCAGAGUUCAUAAGCGCCCACUCCUAACCCUUACUGCGAGCUGUGAUUACAAGGCUGGAGAGAAGAGUUAAUGGAAAACGUGUGGUACUUAAGAACUGUGAGACAGCGCGAAUGCAGUGGACCAAAUGAAAGACGCUCGCACAACUUAGCUGCUGCUUGAGCGUUUUAUUUUUUUAAUGGUUUCGCUUUCAUUAGAGCAGCCGUUCCAAAUAUCGCAAUAAUCAAGAUGAAAUCAUCAGCAUCAGCGUAAUUAAACUCACUGCGGAAUAAAGGCCUCCCGCCAGAUAUGUUCAGUCACCAGUCUCCCGUCCUCGCUAAAAGUUGCGUAUACCAUGCACGAGUCAAAUUUUUGAUCUCGUGAUAUCAUCUUAUCUUGUGACGCCUCCGACUUCAUUUCCCGCUCCCUGGUAAUCCAUUUCUGCUACACUUAUUGGCCACCGGCUAUCUGCUCCACGCAUUGUACCGGGUACUACUUAGUAGCCAAGCCUGCGAGACACUGCUCUCAACAAUUUGCUCUGCAUGAUUAGCCUUUGGUGUGCCCGACUGUGUAAGUACGUUCUGUGAGUGAGGUGUGUUCGGUGUGGUAUUUUCUUCGCAUCCAUAUAGUGUAGCGUGCUGCAUUAAAAAGUAUUUCUUUGUCUUAUUAGCGUUGAACGAACCUAUUAUUAGUAUUAUUUAUUUCUGUUACCUUCAGGGCCAGUGGCAUUAUAGAGGGGAGAGGUACUACACACGUAGAAGCACAUAAUUACAGGUACAUAGCUGAUAUAUUCCUGUUAAUACAAUAUUAGCUAGAGUAAUACAAAGGCAGGAAUGACUAAGAAGGAACAAAAUGCUUAACAAGUUAAGACAGCGGUAACUAACAGUCGACGCCACUGAUUCGCAGAGGCGGUUCCAGUCCUGUGACGUCAUGGGUAUAAAGGAUUGGGAGCAUGUUUGCGUUAGCCCCGACACCAUUCCCACCUUUUGUGCACGGUCAAAAGCGAGAUAUACGUCGGAGGAAGAAUAAGGCCAUUUCGCAGAAUGGGGUUGUAUAUAUUUUACGAAACAAGCACGGACGAGCAUAUUUGCGACGGAAGACGAAGAAAGUACGGCUGUCAAGAUUAUUUCAUUAAUAGUUAUGCUGGCGGUGCGAUUGUAGUUGCGGGGAAUAAAGCGAAUAUAAUUAUUUUAGACUAGCUCGAGGGCAGAAGUUAAUAUAUCGGUGCUGGGUUCCCAGAUCGUCGCAGCAUAUUCGAGUUUACCACGGGCUGACGUUUUGUACAGAAGGAGCUUUAAUGAACCAGGAGCGGAAGAGAAGUUAGGACGGAGAUACCCUAAAGGAGUGUUUAGCGUUGGUAAUUAUUUUGCUGAUGUGCAAACACCAGCUAAGAGAACAAGUUAUGCGAACACCGAGGUAGCUGUAUGACGUAACUGAUUCAAGAGUGGAGCUCUGUAGAAAGUAAGAAACAGGCGGGGUAGUAUAGCACGGGAAACACGUAAUACCUUAACUUUAGUGGUGUGAAGUUCCAUCUUCUAUAGGUUACACGAGUUAGAUACAGCGUUAAUGUCAUUUUGAAGUGUGUUAACGACAUUUUGGUUAUUAAUUUCACGGAAAACUACACUGUAAUUAGCGAACAAAGGAACGUUAGAGGAAACAGUGCCUCAAGGCAUUAAUGUAAUCUCUUCUCGUUUUCAAAGUUUGUGACAAGAUCGUAUAUCAACGAGAUUCCGCUGCGCUACACUGCGUUCUGCUGCCGCGGCGGCCGGAUGCUAGUGUGGCAGGAACGCCCGCGCAUUGAAAUUUUUUAACUUCAAGUGGUCAGAAAUUAUCUAGAGGGCAUAAAUCGCUAUGUCUCACUGGGUUGUAAAUAAAGACAGUGCGAUAAUGAACAGGGCGGAUACUAAGGAAGCCAAAUGCCAUUACGGCAAUAUUCUGGACAUAAAACGCCUUCAGUUGUGAUGAAGAUGACAAAACUUCAUUGCUAAAAAAGAAUUGUAGAGAUGACUGCUGACUUGGACGGCCGGGAGCCCAUGAGCGCCGGCGGCCUCCGCGGCCCAGGGCACCGCCCUGUGAUAACCUAAAAAUUCAGUAUGAGCUCCGCAUGCAAAACCGCAAUGCAUCUGCCUCCGCGCUCCAAAACAUAGUACCCGAGAGACGCCGAUAUUGAAAGUUCGCCUCAGCCGUGACGUCACGGAUGAACGAACGCGUAAUUGGCUGAUGUGUCUAUAUUAAUCUCCUUUGAGUUGGACAGCACUGUAUUUGUUACUGCAUUCUUAGGCUGUAGAUCACUUCGAGUUGCGAGUGACGCGCUUUUCUAUUGAUUCGACACGCUUGGCCUUCAGUCCGCAGGGCAGUGGUAUGUAGAGGCUAUCGUCUCAACGAGUCGGGCGCGGGGCGCGCAAGACGUCGCUCUGACGCGCUCCGUUGCCGCCGAAGCGCGUUUCAGCGUAUACGUUCUCGCUCGCUGCAGGUUUCGUUUCUAUUUUGGGUUGGCGCUGUACACGGUCGCGUGCGUUUGAUUCUCGGUUUCUUCUUCAGCUCGCUCGCCCGCACCUAUCGAAGUAGCACGUGCGGUGUUUCUAUCUCGUCGGCGACGUCGCUUAGCCAAUUCGAGUUCCCUCAGCCGCGGCGAGGUAUGCAGGCGAGGGAGGUGUGCAUCGCGUCGGCUCUUGCGCGUGUCCAAGCACUAUACGAGAAACUGGUCUCGAAAGGCAGCGGUGUGACGCAAUGGACAGAUUUCACGAGAAGUUUCACCACCAAGCCGCCGCCGGUGGCUCUGUAACUUUCUUCAGCGGCAACCGUAUGGGACAUAUUUCCGGCGCACUUUCGGCGUGCCGUCACCCCGGGGUUGGUGCGAUCGUUUCGCGAUGUUCUGAGAACGCUUCCGGGGAAAAAUGUGUGUUUAUGUGUUUACAUAUCGAAGGGCAAAUAUCUCACGGUGCGCACUCCGGUUGCGAUAACGUCGUGGUUAUCGCACCUCGUUAAGCGGAUGCGCCGAAAUCGGUCGACGUAUUUCCGAAAACACAACCGAAGUAAUACGUUCGAUGUUACUGCUGCAGUAACCAUUAAGUGCAAGGGUGGAAAUGGUGGUUGGAGACGCCCGGCUCAUCGAGUGAUCGAGUGAGUGAGUGAGUGAGUUGUUUUAAUAAGCGAAAGUAGGCUUACAGGUACAGUACACCGACGUCGCUCGGCCUGUACGUCGGUGCCUGUCGAAAGACUUGUUUUGUAUCAUUAUGCGUGUCAUCGCGGUGGAAAUACAGCAAUGUAUCAUUUCAUCGUUUCCCGAAUAAAGCAGACGACGCGGACCGGAGAGCGACAUGUAUAAUAAACUUGCGCAUUGGCCAAAUGGUACUGAAACUUCGAAACAUUUUUCUCGGGACGACUUCUUUCUUCCUGGUGAGUAAACCAUUGCUUUCUUCUUAUAUAUUUGAACUAUCAUGCGGGCGUUUCCAGUCGCGAAGUUUACUUUCGUUUAACAAAGCGAUGAAUUGGGUUGGUGUACCUUCAUUUCGUUUAGGCAGGUGUUUUAACAAAUUAUAUUGAACUCCGCUUAAGCUUCAUUUGGUUUUGUUAGUUUAGUUCUCUGCUUAGUAUUGCUAAUGUUUUAAGCAGCAGGAAUAUUCUCGCUAAUCUACUUUUGUCUGAAGGCACGAUAGCAGAACGAUAUCUAUAACUCGGGAAGGCCUGAACUUGAGCAUGACACAUGUUAUGUGCCGCGAGGUGACAUAUCGUCUUGAUACAUGCUUUAGUUUAUCGGUGUAAGCAGAAAGAUGCUGUCUUUUCAUUCAACGCGGUGAUUUGUCAGUUUAUUUGCUCGCAAGAAAUUUAGAUGCAACUGCACACGUCACUCGUUCCAGCUUUGGAGCAUUCGACCUGCGCACGGGGCCGCUAGUUUGCUUUCCGGCACUGUACCAACAGCUAAAUGCCCAUUACAACUGGUUCAGUUCGUUUCCAAGUCAUGUGUUUAUACUAAUACAAGUGACUGCUCAAACUGAAACCUUCGCUAAAUUUCAGAAAACUGAUGGAAGAAACGCAAGUUGAUCGAUCGGUUGUUAUUCACUUCUCGUGUUUCACCGGGGUUCGCGGUUGUCUGCUGUGUUUCCAAGCCCGGGUAUUAUUUACCUCGAACUUCGAGCACGAACAAGCGCUAGGCACCGGACGCAAACGACCUUAUCACAAUUAAGGAUCAGCUAACUAAAGAGACAGAUGCAACCCGACUCACAAACGGAACUCUCUUUUUUUUUUUUAUCCCAAGAAACACGGACCAGGUAACUUUAAAGUCUUUAGCGUCGUUCGAUCAGUGCGCUACAUGCGUAUUUAGCUCCUAAAAACACGACAGACGUUACUGCCAAUAUAUAUUGGGGUACACUGCAACACUAGUCACAGUGCGGAGUUGCCUGUGUAGGUCGAAAGUUCUUGAGACCGAUCAAAAUAAUGUGAUCGGCAGCAAGGACACUUUCAAAAGCUUGGACGAAUUACGUCGAUUCCAUGCCACAAACGAGAAACUUGAGCACAUCACCAAGCGAAAGAGCCGCCGUGACCUUGGAUGUCGUAGCCAUCUUUAUUUGUUUGGAGAGUGUUGCCAGCACAAGGGACGGGUUCCGGAGUUACUAAUAAAACGAUUUCAGGAAUAGCGGUCGUAAAGAAGGGGGGGGGGGGGGGGGGGUACUUGGAGCACUCAGGGGUAUUCAGAACGUGCGGAAUCCAAAAUAUGCUUGGGUAUAAUUGUAUGCAGGGCCAGUAGCGGUGCGCCGACUUUCAGUAUUCCUAAAACUCCCUUGGAACAUUUUAGAGGGAGCAAUGAGGGGCCAGAUGGUAGUUUUGGAAAUGGCGCCCCCAAGCAGCUCAGCGUUCCGACGCUAAGCUGUAACUUGGGCUGUUACCUGAGCUCAGGUUACCUUGUAACCUGAGCUGUAAAGUAACAAAAAAAAAAAAAAAAAAACACUUGGUUUCUUUUUCGCUCUUCUUGCACUCAUUUAGACCGACAUCGUCCCCUAACCUUGGGUUCCGUAUUUCUAAAAUUUCCUAAUGUCUCGGUAAACACUCCGCGAAGACAUAUACGAUGUAGUGGCUGCUGACGGCUUCGAAAGGAUGUUGUUUAGAGGCACGGCUGGCAGCUUGGCAACAACCUGCACCGAAGCGUUACCCAUAUGCACGCGCACAGGCAGGUGCGUACUGAACCCGUAAUGAGCGAUUACCAAAAGCUCUUACGUCUUUCGCAGCACCCUGCCUAUGCUUUUGAGAUGUAGACGGCGCCGACUAAUUCCCUUCCCCCUCUGCCCCUAUUGUAAAUAUAGUUGAUUGAGUGGCGUCGGGCGUAGCGCAAAGGCUGUCGACGGGCGAAACAUUCGUUAUGGGAGAGCUGCAGAUGGUCACGCGUAAAAAGAAAAUAAUGUGCAGUUGCCUAAGCUAAGUUCAGCGAACACUUCCGUCAUGGCCCCCAUAUCAGAACGUGCUGCCGCUUGUCGCGUACGAUGACAGCAAACGCGCCAUCGUCUUACAGCGAAAGAAGAAACGUGAACGUGCAAACUCAAGGACUUCGGAGCGCGACGACGUAUCGUGCACUACAGCAAAAAUGAUACAGCUGGCACGUAGCGCUCGCCUUUGAGCGCUGCAGCGAUUUUCUGCCACAGCGUAGACGGAAACAAACAAGAAAAUGGGAAGGCCGUGGCCGAGGAAAGUCGUGCAACGUUUUCGUUCUGGACGACCGCCGCUUGCUCCGCGCAGUUCAUCCUUUCCGUGCUGCUAGCUAACGGUUGCGAGCGGUUUACUCGUGUUUCUUUUUUUUCCUGCUAUGGACCAAACCGCCGCUUUCUUUCGUUCUUCUGCGGCAAAGAAUGCGAAAACGGUGGUACGUGCUGCCUGGCGAAGAGCGACGCUCCGUUCCUCCUCGUUAAUUCGGUGCAGCAUUUCGCUUGCUGAACGGGUGCCAUACACGCUCGCUCUUGCCGAAUAAGAGUAAUGCAUAGUCCCGAGUUUUGCCACCUUUAACCAUUUUUUUUUUAUUGACGUAGUGUAACAGGAGAGGUUGGCGCCUUUUGGUGGCGCCGGCUAUACUCAUCGCCAGUUGGCAAACUAAAUGAAGUCGCAAAAUAUGACGAUUAAUGUCAGCAGCAUGAACACAAACAAUUUAACUAGCAAACCCAUGAGCUGUACUUGUUCUAGCAGUUUGUGAAAGUAUCUCCAUCACGGUGACCAAACCAUUUUACUGUGGCCAAAGCAUUUAACUCGCAAACCCAGAGCUGUACUCGUUCUAGCAGUUUGUGACAGUAUCGCCGUGACUGUGACCAAAUCCAGAGCUGUACUCGUUCUAGCAGUUCGUGACAGUAUUGCCGAAGAUGAUAUUGCUAGCUUUGGUCACUUGCGUUUUUCUGGCAUUGUAAUGGCUGACAGCCCUGCUUGCGACAACUGUGGCUGCGAGGAGACAAUCAAGCACCUCCUCUGUGACUGUCCCCGCUACAAUGUGGCAAGAAAAGUGCUCACGACUGCGCUUGAAAAACUAGACAGUCGCCCCCUCACAGAGGAAAAAGUUUUAGGACACUGGUCUAGACGGGCUUCGGCACUCAAGGCCUUAAGGGCUUUGCUGAAGUUCUUAAGGGCUUGUGAAUUGUGCGACCGGCUUUGAACGUUGUAGCGCGUAGGGUCGCGUUAUUGCGCGAAUUUUCUUACUUCACCUUUUUUUAAUUUGUUUCUUCUGUCACCUUUUAUUACCUUUACCCCUUUCCCCAGUACAGGGUAGCCAGCCAGUAUUUACACUUUCUAAUAUCCUUGUCUUUCUUUCCCUUUCUCUCUCUCUCUCUAUUUUUCUGCCUGCCGCGGUUGGUUCAGCGGCCAUGGUGUUUCGGUUCUGAGCGCAACGUCGAGGGUUACCCUGCCGGCCGACGCGGCUGCUUAUAGUUGAGGGCGGAAUGCGAAAGUGUUGGUGUUCCGGGCUUUGUGUGUGUAUAAAGAGACACUGAAGUGGACAUAAAAAUAGGCUGAUGAUGAUGAUAAAGAGACACUAAGGGCAAAUAUUAGGUGAAGCGAAAAUGAUAGAUUAGUGCUCGAGAACGUCAAAGGCGUCAAUAUUAUCGCGAACAGAGCUUUAGUAAUCGAGAAAUUGAGGCAAAUGCAGCACACGAUUAGAGACUCCCCCCCGGGACGUUCAAGUACUAGCCCGAUGACGAAGGCACUCCUCAUUAUAAUUCUGUCACUAGCACUCAACCACUCAUGAUAAAAAUAUAAUUGUAUUGAAUUAUAAGACGAAAGAAAAUGCUACUUGUCCAGUUUUAUUUGAUAUUUAGAAAAAGUCGGCAGUUUCGCCCAAAAGGCGAAGCAUCACUUGCGAUAGCAAAUUAGUGGAGAGCUAUACGGGAGUAAGGAUAGUAGUUUUAUCUGCUGUAUAAACUUGGGCACUUUCGCCUGCUACCUGAAUUAACAAGCAUGGUGUGAGUGCGCACAAGCAAACAUGGAUAGAUCAUACUCGAUGACCGCAGACAACCGCUGUAAAAGCGCUGGCAUGAGCAAUCGGGGAUGCAGUAGCGAGCGAAGGUUCGUGCGGUCUAUCGCUUCAACGGAAAUCGAGCGGCGAAAGCACAGCGCAUAUAAAGGUAGGAGCCGUGAGCAGAUGGCUUUUAAGAUACGGUGCGCGCCACCGCCCGCAGCCGCGCCAAGUACAGGUAUGCAGUUGCUUGCAGAGUAGGAGCCACACCCCCUCCCUCCCGCGCUGCCUUCCCGCUUUCCUCCUUUCGCGUGCGAGAUUGUGUCGCCAGUUGCCCUUGCACCCGGUUCAAGAUACGCAGUUGGUGCCGCAGCACAACGUCGCCUCCCCUCACUCCCUCCCUCCCAUCCCUCCACAGCCUUUCGCGUGACGGAAGACGUCGUGUUUGCUCUCCGCCGUGCGUUCGCUCUCCGUGAAAGCGCGCGUCCCUCGCGCGCUUUCACUCGCACAUACAACAUACGGCGCGCGGCGACGAUUUUAUCGCCCUUGAACUUUAUACGGAACCUCACGACGUGACCCUUGACAACGACGUGGGUGGUCGAAAGGUUUCGUUUUCUCUACUAUUUCUCGCCCGCACUUUCACGUUUCAGUAGUUUCGUUAUCCCGUAGUGCUGCGCUGGUUUUUCUGGCUCGCGAAACUAACACAAAUUGCAAGUAGCAGAAAAUGCCACGUCCAUGUGAUGUCGCGGUUUUCCCGAACGCUCCUCGUUAUUUGACCAAUAGUAGCUGCAGCUGUAAAUCUAACUCUCUGUCUUGGCUCGGUUUCUCCAUGGCCGCGCGCUUGCAUUUUACACAGGAAACCGUAGCGCUGUCUGUCGGGUGCCAUUUUACUCACAGACGGCAGUAAAGGGCGGUGAUGGCGUAUGCAACGUCACCACUCCCCGCUCUGAGGCGGGCGAUUUCAAUUGCCUAAAGGUAUGGGGACCUUCCCGACGCUAUUUUCCCGUAAACUAAAUGUUUACUUGGCCCGAAACAAGCCCUGCGAGGUUUCUGGAAUGGUAUUUUAACAUUCCACGUCGGACAUUGUAUGUGCCUUUAGUGUGCCUUUAAAGAACACCAGGCGGUCAAAAUGUAUCUGGAAUUCCUCGCUGCAGUGUCAUUUAUUGCCCUACUUUUGCUUUGGAAUGGUAAACUCAAUCAAUGAAGCGAUAAAUUACUUAUAUCUCCGUUUCCGGUCCACGCUUCCGUGACAUGGACUGUCGAGUUUUUAGGUCUCCUCUAUGCUUUUACUCGACCUGUUGCGACAGUUGAUGGAGUGCCGUGCGAGAGAGGACGCGUGUCUGUUGAUUGAUUGAUUGAUUGAUUGAUUGAUUGAAGUUUUAAUGUUUACGGCAACGCUUACCGAUGCCGGGGUUACAAACAACAGCAACAACAACAAAACAACAUCGACAAUGACGACGACGACGACGACAACGACAACGAAAACGACAACGACAACAACAACAACAACAGCAACAACAACAACAACAACAACAACAACAACAACAACAACAACAACAACAACAACAACAACAACAACAACAACAACAACAACAACAACAACAACAACAACAACAACAACAUCAAGGAAAGGCGCAAAUCCCUAUAUUAUGCAGAUUAUAUCGUGUGUAAACCGGGAGAAGCUUGAGAAGCGGGCUUCUCCUCACGAAGACUGUGAAUGCGGAGAAGCCUGAUUUGACGAAGGCGUUUUAGCGAGCUAUGCUCGCAUGAAGGGACAACUUUCGAGGCUCUUAGCAAGCACCAUUUACAGGCUUUCCAUUGAAAAAAAAAAAUGAAGAAAGAAGUCUUCGAUUAUCGAAACUUUUAAACGAAUACGAAUAUUAUAGAGAAGCGAUCUUCGACGAUCAGAUAAAAGAGCAAAAAAGAAAUGAAAAAGAGAUAGAGAGAAUGCAGAUUACAUUAUGAUAUAUAUAAUGCCGUUAAAAAUUGAACUUCUGGUCAACUGAGGAGAUUGUAAAUGAGAAACAACUGAAAGCUGAUCGUACCUGGCGCACCAUGAAACACGCGAAGAACACGCUACCAGAUACUGAAGAAGCAAAGUAUAACACUACGUCACCUCGCAUAGUUUUAAAGGGAUGCAACCACGAUGAGAUUGGUCAAAUAAUAAAUUACUUUCACUUAAUUCAGAAAACAAAUUUAUGGGCUGCACGGAGGCACGGAAUCCUUAUUGAGUGACCGGAAAUCAUUGAACAGAAGUUAGCACUCUGCAGCUGCUGCCUUUCCCCAGCCGAAUAAUUCGUAACAGCCCUCAUUCUCAUCUGGCUGUCUCCCUGUACACUGUCGUAAGCGUUGCUGUUCCUUGUAUUCGAUUCGAAACGAAUAUUCGGCAACUUCGAAUAGCGAAUUCUGGAAUCUAUUACGCAUCUAAUAGAAAGGACUAGUCGAUAUGUAAGAGAAAUUUCGAACAUUCGCGCAUCUCAACAAAGAGAUACCUUUAUGUUGAUCUGCAAUUGAACCCCGAACCACCGGAUUCCGAGAGAGGCGCUCCACCUAUUGAGUCUCAAGGUCGCAGCUACCAUGCAUGAGUAAUAUGAUUGUCUGGUUGAGCAUGCGCGCAUGCUGGGGAGCCAUAAUGCCAGUAACACGUUCCUUGCAACAAUGCGUUCAAUAAGCGUAUUUACAGUUUGUUGUUUCUAUUUAUAGUCCACUGACAACUUGUAGAACUGUAUAACCCUGAAACUACCCUAGAGGCAGUCUUGCAAGUAUGAAAUACUUGCAAAUAUGAAAGAUUUGCAAGUAUGGGGCGCUGACCUCAGAAGUGUGAAGCAAAGCAAGUGGUACCUGCAGCCUUAAACACAAACACACACACCAGUUUUAUUGCCAUGCUGAGCCGUACAGCACGAUGCCAGUGACCGUGUUCUCAGCCGCCUUGGGCCGUCAUUUUAGUCUGGCUUUCGAUCAUUCGAAUAUAGGGUUUGACCUGUACGCGAACGACUCUUUCUGUUAUUAAAGUUUAUCCGCUACAUUCUCUGCGAAAGAAACAAAAUCAAAAAGAAGUCAGCGGAUGAAUUAGAAGGCAGUGUUGAUCGGUGGCUGAAUGUAGUGUUUAAAUCUGUUCGUUAUUAUUAAUAGGCCGUCGGUGGUCGCUGAUUCUGCGUCGCUGCACUGAACUACCUACGCGUUUUCAUGCAUGAGUUGAUCCUGCGCUUACAGCGUGACACGAAGGGCGUGCCGGUAGCGUCGGCGCGCGAAGAAUUGUGAAUGCGAGACGCAUUUGUUAAGGAGCGUCUCCGCGUUUAGCAUAUCGGGACGUCCGUCGCGACCGUCGCCACUGCACUACCGGUCGCUCCUUUUUGCUGCUCUCCUUCCGACUGAUCCAACGACCGUAACGUACUUUAAAGGAAAGUCGUGUGACUGCUAGCCGAAAAAAAAAAAAAAGGAAGGGGGGGGGGGGGUUUACACGCCAGUCGCACGAUAUGUCUGUUGGAAACGCAUAAAUUCUUUUUUUGACAGUAAUGUGAUGUGCUUGGUGGAAAGUAGGCUUUACAACCACAAACUAAGCCGCGCGGAGUUGAAUGCUGCGCAGCUGUCGUAGCUGUAGGUAGCAGGCGUGUCUCUGUGUAUAAGCAACCGUGCCUUUAUUGACCAAUCAACGCACUCCCCAUUCGUAUACACCAUGCGCGCUGAGAAUUUCGAAGUCGAAAAAUGCCCGUGAGAAGAUAUUCACAGCCGAAAACAGCAAUAUUCGUAUAGAUUGCACCUGCACUGGGCAGUAAUAAUGGUUCAUUGACCUAGAAUAAAAAAGAAAAUAAUUGCUUACAAACCAGCGUCGCAGAGAACGAAAAAUAAAUGGCGGUUGCGGCGGGUGAACUUCAAUUUACUCGUUAAUCUGGGCGCGCACAAAGAUACUUACGCUGCUUUGCGUUGCUCUGCAGAGAUUGGACGCAGAAGAUGGCGCUUGGCGCGUCGACUGUGAUGACAUUUUGACGAUAUGCUUGAUCAAGUGCCUUGUUUACCGUAAUUAAUAUCGUUGCAAUAUUAUUGAGCGGGAUUGCGCUUCGCGAGCACGCCGUUUUUGACAGAAUAGAGAGUUCUGCCGAACUUCCCGAGUACUCAAACGUGAAUUACUACAAUCGUGUAUAGGAAACAAUAAUCGAGCCACUGUAAAUUGCCAGGCAUUACGAACCAAAGUGAUCUUUCAUCGAUCGAGUGACCGACAACCUACCGGAAAUCUUGUAAAAAUUUGGUUGCUUACUAUUUGAAGAAAUAUGCGAUUUCUGAUGAUGUAACGAAAAGACGUAUGUCUUGAGAAACAUCCUAAAUAGCAACGCUGAAUCACUGAAGACUGGUAAACUACUAUUUCAGAACUGUGUUGUCGUUUAUGUGUCAGUAGAAAGUUGAUUAUUGUCUGUUAAAAAUGUUGGUUGCAGAUUUCGCAUUCGUGAAUAUCGCCCCCUAAGCCGAAGUGCCAGUACGUCAGUUUGACGUCAUGGAUUUCGAAGUAUUUUCUCGUAUUCGCGCAGUUUCUGCGGAGAAAUAGUUCUUAGAUGUCUCACGGUUCAGUCUUUGGACACCCUGAGCUCACCCUGAGCUCACACGAACACAAAGAGACUUCCGGCAGGGACAUACCAACAUACUCCUCGCACCAUUCUGGUUUUUUAUUCACUUCUUUACCGGCUCUCACCGCCGACAAAUCUUCCUCUCUGCAUUCACUGUGACAGAUACAUCAACGCACCACAGCUCCCAGCCAACCAAGAAACCCUCUCUGAAGUGAGUGUCCAUCGCUCGCACCUAAUUCGAUCCGGGCAGAAUUCACUGAGAAAGCUCUCAAGCAUGCUUCCGGCGAAGCCCUGGACUAAGGGCCUAGCACAACGCCCAGCCUUUUCAACAAUAGAGUGUUUUCUUCUUUGGUACCGUCAGAAUGCGGUGACAUAAUUAUCAAUCAACAGUUCACUAGACCUGAGCAGGUGCUGUGAAAAUUCAUUACGUCACCUGUAGGUAGUGCUGGAACUUAACGGUGGCAUCACCAGCCGUCUCUUGGUAUCGCGGCCACCAAACCUCCGCUGUCGAUAACGAUUGACUCUUUCCGUAUUCGAGAAAUGUACGUAUUUCGGCGAUCGUGCUUAACUUUUCUGUACCCGAUUAGUGUCCCUUUCAAUGUGAUCACUUCGCACAGCGGAGCGUUUGUAACCCGGUGAGUGUUUCUUGACCUAGUUUCGAGGCCCCAGCAAUUCCAUGUGCACUAGAGUACGCGACAAAUGCUUCACACUCCUGCGUGCCGUGCUGUCGGACGUUUCCGGGGCACGUCCUUGGCGGCUCCUGCCACUCUAUGUGAACCGCGGGAGCAGCUGGGACUCCAUUGUUUUCGCUGGAAUUUCAGGCACAUUUUUUUUCCUGGCGCGUAUACCGCCCGUGUCGUUUCAAGGGCUCGAGAACUGCGUCCGAGCCGGCGGCAGUUAAGCGCUCUGCACUCUACGCUUGCUGAAAGGACGUGGAUGGGUUAAAAAAAAAAAAAGAAGGAUGUGUUUAUUCUGCGACACAGUUUCCUUGAGGUUUAUGCUGUGAACUGGUGACCUCGCACGUGACAUCGUAGGAAACAAGCUGAAUCUGCCCGCGCGAGAAAGAAUAAGGCCGGAGAGUGAGACUCUAGGGUCGGUUAUCAUGGUUUACAAUGCAGCGGCCUUCAUUCUCCAAGAAGGCGAAAGAGAUAGGUUCAUUAUGCAGUGAAAGCUGAGACGUCUGCUUGAAC